rnacentral:rRNA from 1 species
CCUACGGGCGGCAGCAGUGAGGAAUAUUGGUCAAUGGGCGGGAGCCUGAACCAGCCAAGUCGCGUGAGGGAAGAAGGUCCUAAGUAUUGUAAACCUCUUUUAUCAGGGGAUAAAGGCGGCCACGUGUGGCUGUAAGAGUGUACCUUGAGAAAAAGCAUCGGCUAACUCCGUGCCAGCAGCCGCGGUAAUACGGAGGAUCCGAGCGUUAUCCGGAUUUAUUGGGUUUAAAGGGAGCGUAGAUGGGUUGUUAAGUCAGUUGUGAAAGUUUGCGGCUCAACCGUAAAAUUGCAAUUGAUACUGGCAGUCUUGAGUACAGUUGAGGUAGGCGGAAUUCGUGGUGUAGCGGUGAAAUGCUUAGAUAUCACGAAGAACCCCGAUUGCGAAGGCAGCUUACUAAACUGUCACUGACAUUGAUGCUCGAAAGUGUGGGUAUCAAACAGGAUUAGAUACCCGUGUAGUC